GCAGCAGCCGCGGUAAUACGGAGGGCGCGAGCGUUACCCGGAUUUACUGGGCGUAAAGGGCGUGUAGGCGGCCUGGGGCGUCCCAUGUGAAAGGCCACGGCUCAACCGUGGAGGAGCGUGGGAUACGCUCAGGCUAGAGGGUGGGAGAGGGUGGUGGAAUUCCCGGAGUAGCGGUGAAAUGCGCAGAUACCGGGAGGAACGCCGAUGGCGAAGGCAGCCACCUGGUCCACUUCUGACGCUGAGGCGCGAAAGCGUGGGGAGCAAACCGGAUUAGAUACCCCCGUAGUCCCUGUCUCUUAUAC
rnacentral:rRNA from 1 species